CUGAUUAGCUAGUUGGUGAGGUAAUGGCUCACCAAGGCUACGAUCGGUAGCUGGUCUAAGAGGAUGAUCAGCCACACUGGUACUGGAACACGGACCAGACUCCUACGGGAGGCAGCAGUUAGGAAUUUUGCGCAAUGGGGGAAACCCUGACGCAGCAACGCCGCGUGAAGGAUGAAGGCCUUCGGGUUGUAAACUUCUUUCGACAGGGAAAAAACAAAUGAUGGUACCUGGAGAAGAAGCACCGGCUAACUACGUGCCAGCAGCCGCGGUAAUACGUAGGGUGCAAGCGUUACUCGGAUUUAUUGGGCGUAAAGCGCAUGUAGGUGGUUUUAUAAGUCUGAUGUGAAAGCCCUGGACUCAAUUCAGGAACUGCAUUGGAUACUGUAAGACUAGAGUAUGGGAGAGGUAGGCGGAAUUCUUGGUGUAGAGGUGAAAUUCGUAGAUAUCAAGAGGAACAACAGAAGCGAAGGCGGCUUACUGGACCAUAACUGACACUGAGAUGCGACAGUGUGGGGAGCAAACAGGAUUAGAUACCCUGGUAGUCCACACCGUAUACGAUGGAUACUAGAUGUCGGGAGUUCUUACCCUCUCGGUGUCGUAGCUAACGCGUUAAGUAUCCCGCCUGGGGAGUACGGUCGCAAGAUUAAAACUCACAGAAAUUGACGGGGGCCCGCACAAGCGGUGGAUUAUGUGGU
rnacentral:rRNA from 1 species